UCAAGAUUUUGAGAUUUUAUUAUUUUUAGGGUUUUGAAAGAUGCGGACAUCCUUGUUCCAAGAAAAAAAAAAAAAGAAGAUGUGGGCAUCAGUUACUAUUUUAAGUUUAAAUAUAUGGCAGUUGCCUGUGGAUAUUUUUGUAUACACUUUUCUGGUUUGAGAUAAGCCCACCCACAUUAAGGCUGCCUUAUUCGGAAAAUGGAAAAGCUCAACUAGCCCAAGUCUUGCUCAUACUUGUUUUCCCCUGGUUCUAUGAAGAAGAGGCACAGCCAUAUGCCUGCCAGAUUGUUCUGUUGCCAAAUUUGUUUGAAUUUCAAAUUCUCAUGUUUGUGUUUCAAAGAAUCUUAGGUUAAUUUUUGUUUUUUCUUUUCAGCAAUAGGAAAUGUGGUGUCGGGAGAAGAGUCAUUUCAACAUUGUAUUACCUGUUUCAAUGCUCUGUUUCUUUCUCUUUUUAUUCUUAUCUGAGCCAAUACGCUCAGUUGUGUAA